rnacentral:tRNA from 1 species
GGAAAUGUGCCCGAAAGAUAAGGAUUUCCUUGAUGUGGAAAAUCAUAGGGGUUCAAAUCCCCUCACUUCCU